UGAAUUCAGCAUAUACUGACCAAAAUUUACAGUAUGUUUCCUUUCCGAUUAACACUAAUUGUAUGCAUUUUCUGAUUCUAAUUCUUAAGUGAUCUAAAGCUGUUGACUGCCUAGAAGACUUAGACUAUGUUAUUUUAAAAUAACAUAGCUAAUGUAAGACCCUAAACUCCAGGAGUUUCAUUUACAAGCAACCUAGAAAACACAAGUGGCUAAUUUAUAAAGAAGCACAGAACAAAGCUGAACAAUAUCCUUCCACAGCCCAGACUCCAAGGCAGCAUGUUGCAAUAGUGUCACAAUGAAGUGGGCACAAUGAGGAGGGCUUACAGAGGUCGAGUUUUAUUUCUAGCCCUGCCACUACUUACGAAUUCCAGGAGACACGACAAGUUUCUCUAGAAUAGAGAUGAACUAAUGGAUCAUCUGAAUCCUUAAGAGAUCCUUCCCCUACUUUCCACCCACACAUUCAUUCUUAUGAAGCUGUGUUUAAUGCUUAACAUAGCACAAUUGUUAAACACACACCUGCCUGGCUGAAGCCCUACAUGACAAGUUAAAGCUCCAGGGACAUUCUGUAUCUUGGAAUUAUAUAUGGAUCCAUAACGGAAGCCCAAGACUCAAUCCAGCCUUAAAUGUAACUUCAUGAACGUGAUGUCCUUGUAAGUCA
rnacentral:lncRNA from 1 species